UGGCUAGGGAGGGAACUUUCUUUUCUGAAGCCAAAAUGACAUGGACAAGAAUUGACCAAAUAUGGAUUACUAGAGGACUGGCACCUAAGACUCGAAAAGCGGAAAUUUGCCCUAAAACCUGCUCCGACCAUAAUGCCGUGAAAAUGGAGAUGAAAUUAACACCUACCGGCUCCUUCAGAUGGAGGAUGAAUGACACCUUGUUUAGAGAUCAAGAAGUUGUCAAGAAGGCCCAAAAAACCUUGAGAGACUACUUUGAGAUAAAUAUGAAUACUAGCAUCGAAAAAAGAGUAAUCUGGGAUGCAAGUAAAGCAGUUAUGAGAGGGUUUCUAAUUCAACAGAAUGCAAUAAAGAAGAGAACUCAAAAUGCG